AGUGAUAAGUUACAUCUAAUUUUUGUUGUUGAUAAAAAGUUAAACAAAUAGUAGCAAAACUGCAAUAGAGAUAUACUUGAAGCAAAUAGAAUAUGUUAAAGAAUAAUUUCUUUAACACUGGUACAUAACAAAUAACACACAAUAUAUAAUUUACUAAUUUUGUAGAAGUAAAUAAUGUAUGUCGCGCCCCUUUUUCUAAAGCAAACUGGGGUUUAUGACAUUUGGGAGGACAACUCGUUCCCUUUUGGGAAUUGAGUUUGGAUUGAAGAGUCGCCACCUAAUGAUUAAAGUGCAUUAGGACACUAAGAAGGGUUUGAGUUGAAGAACUAGAGUUUGGGUAAGGGCUAGAAAUUAUCCCGAGGGGAAGGUGUCAGGCACCCCUCAGGAUCCACUAGUGUGGUUCCCGGCCAUGUUAUAAUUGUGACUUUAAAUAACAAAUAAGAAAAUAGAGGUCUCAAAUAGAAGGGAUUUACACAUAAUGUUGCAAGUAAACUGAAAGUUUGAAACAAAUAAAGGAAGCAGAAAUUUUAAGAAAAAGUUUGAACAAUUCUGAAAUUAACAAGUAAAGGGGAAGGGGGUCCUAGGUUUAUGAACAAUAUGGAUCAUAUCAAUGCAAUACCCGGUAAUCGCUCCUCAGAAGAGGGGUUACACGUGAUAUUAGCGCACUGGUCAUCAUAUCCAUAUCUACCAUUUCCCACCCCAUUAAUGUAUUAAAGCACAAAAUGGUAUCAUUACUUAUUGCAUGCUAUUAUCCGUCCCAAUCCUAUCAGUCCGGAGGCAUUUGGGACUACUAAUCCUAAAGGGAAGGGAUAUUUUGGCUUUUUAGAGUUUAAAGGAUAAAAAGUCUAAGGCGACAAACAAAACACAUAAAAACAGUUAAGGGGAAACAUAUAGCAGUUUAAAGGCUCGAACAGGCCUCCUCACUUAAAGAAACAGAUUAUUUAGCAUGGCUUACAUAUACUGGUUAUGGUUUGAAUUAAACUUAAUGUUAAGGCAGGUUGAUUUAUCAUAUAUUUCUCAGAUGAGAAGUCUGAAUUAGGCCUUGUCUGGUUGUAGUUAUCAAAGACUGGUGCAGUUAAUUAAUUACCUACUGGCUUGCCUAGGUGGAAGUAUACUAAUUUUUUAAAGAAGGGUUACUAAUUUUAGAACCAACUAAAUUCUGCAGAUAUUAAAACGAUAUUACUACUGAUUUUAAACUUAUUGACGAAAUAGACGAAUCAGAUUCAAACGAUUACUCCUAUAGGCAUGAUUUCUAAGCGUUAUUAGUUUUAAAGCGUUUAUAAAAGUGCAAGAGUCCUAUAGGCAUGGUAUCUAAGAUGCAACUUGUUAUUAUUUUAACCUAUAGACUGUUUUCCUAAUGACAGAUGUAUAUGCAGAAGUGCAGAAAACCUAUAAUCAUGAUUUCUAUAUGCAGAAUUGCAGAAAACUUAUAGGCGGGAUUUCUAUAUGAUAUGCAUAAGUGCAGGAUUUCUAUAUGAUAUGCAUAAGUGCAGAAUUUGUAAAUAGUAAUUCCUAUGAGCAUGUUGUCUACCCAUAUGCAUACAUAAGUGACCCUCCCCUUUUCACUAAAGCCCCCAUAAGUUAUUACAAAUUAUUGCAGACCCGAAUGAAUCAAGAAAAAGUAAAAAUUAUAUCAGAAAUUUAAGCUACAACCAAACAGCCUAAUUCAGACUCAAGGUCUAACAAUAUGAGAUAAACCAACUUCCAGGAUCCGAUUUCCAAAGCCUUCUCUUAUUUGGGAUGUGUCAAAGUUCCCAAGAGCCUCAAGGGGGCUCCGGGCAAUGCUUACACCCCAAAUACAUUGCAAAAUUAGAUUAUAGUGCAGCGUGGAAAGGCCAGCCCUCAAAUGUCCAAGUUCAGAGGAAACUCAAGGUCCCAAGGCAAGGCUCAUAGGAGGAGGGGUAGAACUUAGAGUCUAAGAGUAAGUGCAAGUGAAUAGAGGGGGAGUUAGGGAAGGCCAUGGCAGGCUGGUGGUCAUGCCCAGCAAUUAGGAGUGCUGGCACACCCCUGACCAGCCUGUUAACCACAUUUAGAGUUAGGAUCCAUUGGGGAUCAGGUUCAGACCUGGGCAGCAAUAUGGAUACUGCCAGGCCAUGAGCCUUAACUCAAGCACAUAGAAGGGAGUGGGGGUAUAGGGAAUUCAUAACAAACAACAGAUACAAAGAGAGAGUAACA
rnacentral:lncRNA from 1 species